GGGGGCGCAUUUUGGGCUUUGACGUGAGUUGCAAAGCAGACGGAGCAUGCCAAGCUAAGACGCCUUGUAAAACCGUUUUAAAAAAAAACAUAAACGCGAAUGACCAGCGUUUCGCUUUAGCCGCUUAAUCCGGCUAAGCCUUCACCCCAGAGGGUUCGCACUCUGGUCAGUGGAGUCAUCUUGCGAACUCGCUAUUUAUUGUGCUGUCUAAUAAAUAGUUAAACUUUUGAUGGCUGGCGUUGUGUUCGCUACGUUUAGCGGGCCUGCACAAUGCGACAACGAACGCUAAACUAAGCAUGUAGCGCCGGUUGUGUAGCCCUUGCGGACGGGGGUUCGAAUCCCCCCGCCUCCACCA
rnacentral:tmRNA from 1 species